rnacentral:lncRNA from 1 species
UUCUUACCGAUUCUUUAUUGAAAGCUCCUAGGGAAGCCGCAUGAAGUCCAUGUGAAUGCAAGUGUCUGAAUAGGCUGAUGUGACACAUGAGGCCCCUUGGCUUCUUAGUUCACCUGGUAACAGCUAAGUGUAAGGAUUUGCUCCCAUUUCACAGACAGCCACACUGAGACCCCGGGAGAAGCACAGACUGGCAGAGUUGAGGGCCACACUGAGUCCUUCUGUCUCUAAGACCCUGGUUCUCCCUGCAGUUCUGCCUUCAACCUUGCAACCUAUCAGGCACCCUCCCCAGACCCUGGGACAUAAAUUGCUUCUUUGAUUUAAACUACACAGUGACAACUCCUCUCAAGCCUUGCCUUUCUUUGGGGAUCAUAUCAAGCCCAUGAUUCAACAUGCGUUUGUGAGGUAUUUUGUCCUUCUCCCUCACGUGUUUAAACUCCCUGAGACUCUAUCCUCAGCUUCCCCUGCUGCCUUUCUUGCACACAGCACAGGGUCUCCAGCGGUGUGCACUGAGCAGUCAAGGGAAAGAGUCGGUCUCUAUUGCUGCAGCUUUGUACUAGACAGACUUGACCUGCCUUCGCAUCUGACAAGCAUUUUACUGAGCUGAGUGCAU